rnacentral:rRNA from 1 species
AUGGUAAGGUAUUGGCUUACCAUGGCGAUAACGGGUAACGGGGAAUUAGGGUUUGAUUCCGGAGAGGGAGCCUGAGAAACGGCUACCACAUCCAAGGAAGGCAGCAGGCGCGUAAAUUAUCCAAUCCAGACACUGGGAGAUAGUGACCAAAAAUAUUGAGUUCCGGAGUCCUUAGGGUUCCGGAACAUUAAAAUGAAUACGAUUUAAAUCCCCUAAUGAGGAGCCAUUAGAGGGAAAGUCUGGUGCCAGCAGCCGCGGUAAUUCCAGCUCUAAUAGUGUAUAUUAAAGUUGUUGCGGUUAAAACGCCCGUAGUCUGUGUAGGGGGGGGGUCUGGGGUCUGGGGGUCCGGGGGGGUGCGCAAGUGCCCCCACGGCUCCCUGGGCGGUCCUCCGGGACAACCAGCCCUCCCAUUGUAGUAGUACCCUGAGUAAACGAGCAUGCUCAAGCUCGGCAUCUGCCUGAAUCUUUCAGCAGGGCACACCCUAAGAGGACGGGACGGCCACCGGUGGUUUGGUGGGGGGCCGUUCCGAAAUGAGUAAGAGGACCGGAACGGGGGUAUUUGUAUCUGGGGGCUAGAGGUGAAAUUCUUGGAUUCCCCAGAGACAUCCUGAGGCGAAAGCGUUUACCAAGUACGGCUUCCUUGAUCAAGGCGAAAGUUGGGGGAUCGAAGAUGAUUAGAUACCGUUGUAGUCUCAACCAUAAACUAUGCCGGCUGGGGAUCAGUGCUGGCAGAGAUAUUUCAUGGGUCCGGCCCGGGAUCCUUAGGGGUCCUGGGCGGGCCUAGUCCUGCUUCAUUGGCACCCUGACGGGAAACCAAAGCUUAUCGGCUCCGGGGGGAGUAUUGUCGCAAGGCUGAAACUUAAAGGAAUUGACGGAAGAGCACACCAGAAAUGGAUUGUGCGGCUUAAUUUGACUCAACACGGGAAAACUUACCAGGUCCAGACAGGUAAAGGAUUGACAGACUGAUAGAUCUUUCUUGAUCACUUGGGUUGUGGUGCAUGGCCGUUCUUAGUUGGUGGAAUGGUUUGUCUGGUUGAUUCCGAUAACGAACGAGACGUCCGCCGGUUCUUGUUCCGGCCCCAGGCUUCUUAGGCUGGGUCCGGAAUCUACCGGGACUCGAGACAAAAAGUCUCAGGAAGCGGGACGCAAUAACAGGUCUGUGAUGCCCUUAGAUGUUCUGGGCCGCACGCGCGAUACACUGGGGGGGUCAGCGGGUAACGGGCUGGGGCUGGCUUAGGCUGGUCCCGGCCGGACCGACUCCGGGAGGAGGAGGUAAUCUCUCAACCCCCCCCGUGCUUGGGCUUGUCCCUUGCAAUUUUUGGACAUUAACGAGGAAUUUCUAGUAAGCGCCGGUCAUCAGCCGGUGCUGAUUACGUCCCUGCUCUUUGUACACACCGCCCGUCGCUACUACCGAUUGAGUGGAUUAGUGAGGUCUUUGGACUCUGGCCUGGGGGCUCCGGCCCACGGGUGGGGGGAAGAUGAUCGAACUAAUUCAUUUAGAGGAAGUAAAAGUCGUAACAAGGUAUCCGUAGGUGAACCUGCGGAUG